GAGGAGUCAAGACGUCUUGCGGAGGAGAGAACCACCCAGAGCAGGGUGAAGGAGGAACUGAGGGAGACAACAGCCAGGCUGAAACAACUGGAGAGAGACUUGGAGACAAAGGACCGAGACAUGUCCUACACGACCAAGCAGAAUCAAGUUUUACAAGAAAGGCUCAGAGAAAUGGGAGACCUCACACAUAUCAAGGAAGAGGCUGCACUGCUACAGAGAGAACUGGACUCUGCUAACAGGAAACUAGCAGAAAUGGGUAAUGACCACCAGCAAGAAAAGUCAAG